GUGAGGAAUAUUGGUCAAUGGACGAGAGUCUGAACCAGCCAAGUCGCGUGAAGGAAGACGGUUCUAUGAAUUGUAAACUUCUUUUGUGCAGGAAUAAAGUGGGUUACGUGUAACCUUUUGUAUGUACUGUACGAAUAAGGAUCGGCUAACUCCGUGCCAGCAGCCGCGGUAAUACGGAGGAUCCGAGCGUUAUCCGGAUUUAUUGGGUUUAAAGGGUGCGUAGGGGGAUUGAUAAGUCAGCGGUGAAAGUUUGCAGCUUACCUGGAAAAUUGCCGUUGAAACUGUCGGUCUUGAGUGCAAAUGGGGUAGGCGGAAUGUGUUGUGUAGCGGUGAAAUGCUUAGAUAUAAAACAGAACUCCGAUUGCGAAGGCAGCUUACUGGGAUGCAACUGACACUGAUGCACGAAAGCGUGGGUAUCAAACAGGAUUAGAUACCCCAGUAGUCC
rnacentral:rRNA from 1 species